rnacentral:lncRNA from 1 species
UGAGGAAUCGCCACACUGUCUUCCACAAUGGUUGAACUAGUUUACAGUCCCACCAACAGUGUAAAAGCUAUUCUCCACAUCCUCUCCAGCAUCUGUUGUUUCCUGAUUUUUUAAUUAUCACCAUUCUAACUGGUGUGAGAUGGUAUCUCAUUGUGGUUUUGAUUUGCAUUUCUCUGACGACCAGCGAUGACGAGCAUUUUUUCAUGUGUCUGUUCACUGCAUAAAUGUCUAUAAAUGUCUUCUUUUGGAAAGUGUCUGUUCAUAUCCUUUGCCCACUUUUUGAUGGGGCUGCUUUACUUUUUCUUGUAAAUUUGUUUAAGUUCUUUUUAGAUUCUGGAUAUUAG